rnacentral:rRNA from 1 species
AGCAGCCGCGGUAAUUCCAGCUCCAAUAGCGUAUAUUAAAGUUGCUGCAGUUAAAAAGCUCGUAGUUGAAUUUCGGGACCAUCACGUCGGUCGUGCCUCGGUACGUACUGGCGUCGUUGGUUUCUCCCUUCUGACGAACCAUGAUGUCAUUUAUUUGGUGUCGUGGGGAAUCAGGACUGUUACUUUGAAAAAAUUAGAGUGUUUAAAGCAGGCUCACGCUUGAAUACAUUAGCAUGGAAUAAUGAAAUAGGACGUUUGAUUCUAUUUUGUUGGUUUCUAGGGUCGACGUAAUGAUUAAUAGGGAUAGUUGGGGGCAUUAGUAUUCAAUUGUCAGAGGUGAAAUUCUUGGAUUUAUUGAAGACUAACUACUGCGAAAGCAUUUGCCAAGGAUGUUUUCAUUAAUCAAGAACGAAAGUUAGGGAUCGAAGACGAUCAGAUACCGUCGUAGUCUUAACCAUAAACUAUGACCGACUAGGGAUCGGAUGAUGUUAAUUUUUAUGACUCAUUCGGCNCCUUAAC